CGCGCCACCCCCGUGCCCCGCGCCCGGCGCAGGCUGGGCUCAGCACAUCCGCAGCCCCCCCGUGUCAUUUCUCAUCGCCCAGCGCCGAGCAGGCUGUUCCUGUAAAGUUGAAGGCGUCUCCUUAAAAAUCCAGGAGCUUUAGGAAAGCAUUCGAAGAGCCUAAUUUGAAAAGUGGAACUAAAGAAGAAAAGAAUCUGCUUUCUAGAACAGAGUAAUGUUGGGGCAGGGGUAUCAGGGAAGAUUUCCCCUAAAUGAAGUCUACUUUUUCAAAGCAUUCAACAUGGAGGAUAAAACAAUGAAGUUAGGUUUGGGGGUAUUUCCAACAGUAGCAAGAAAACAUGCAAAUGAACAGAAAAAAAGUCAAAUGGUAAGUGAAUUUAUAUUUGCAUUUAUUUGAUUAAGCAGAGAGUUGUACCCAAUCCCAAUAGAGUCUUGAGUUUCAAAACUGCCUGUGAACUCUGUGCCCAGGAGAGAUUUCAAAAUGUAGUUUCUGCUAUAUGCAACAUAAAAAACCCCUUAUCAUCCUUUUUUGCCUGCUUUUUUCUUUGUAAUGGAAUGAAUUUGAAGACAUGAAAAAACACAGUAUAGUGUAACAAGGAGGAGGCAGUACUGAGGUCUGACCCUGGUGGAUUAUUCAUGUGCUUGAAGUUACACAAGUAUUUUGUUCUGCUUACCACAGUAACUGGAGCAAAGGAAGAAAGACUGGCCACAGGUAAAAAUGAGAUUAUCCCAUCUCCAUCUGUCUUAGCAUUCUUCAGAUGCUUCAUUGGCAUGCAGUUUGCUUCUUAAAUACCAGCUUCUGCUAUCUUUGUUCAUCAUAUCUCAGAAUACUACAGCUGCAUAGAAAAGGCCCUCCUUAAGUACCAAAAGGCACCUAUAAGGUUUGCCCAGAGCCCUCUCCACGCCUCUCCAACACCAACUCUCUCAUUAGGAGAGGAGCUCCAGCCCUCUGAUCAUCUUCAUGGUACUUCUCUGGACCCAUUCUAACAGGUCCAUGUUCUUCCUCUGCUGAGGACCCCAGGCUGGAUGCAGUACUCCAUGUGGGGUCUCGCUAGAUUGGAGUAGAGGAGUCCUCCCUUGACUUGCUGGCCACCCUUCUUUUUCAUUUCACACACACUUAUUUUCCUCAGUACAGGCAGGUGAAAUGUCUUUAUACUUAGCUGGGAUCUAACCCACCCACACACCAGUGCCAGCAUAUGACACAGCACAAAUUGAUGAUCCAGAGAUUUUACAAUCUCUCUCUUGGGAGAUUGUAAAAAAGAACAGGAAUAUUAUGUCUUUCCAAAUGUGGCUUAGCAUACUUGAUUAAGCUUGACUGCUUUCAAAAUCUAAUACAAGAAUGAUAAUACCAUGUGGUUUUUUGUGUAUAUGUCUUUCUCUGUUGUGCAGAAAUGAAUCAUAUUUGUCUGUAAGCAACAUAUCUUUUUUUCUCUUUUUAAAGUUCACUGACAUUUACUGACUCAGGAUGUACAAUAUUUCAUAACCAUAAUGCUAUAUCACCAUGUGUUAAAAGGAAGGCUCUAGGGUGUUAGACUGACUUUAUUAACAUCAUCUGUACUUUAAGAGUGUUUUCACACAAUCAGAUCAAUAGCACAUGAUUUAAACAUUAUUGUGCCUUUUACUGCUCAGAAAUCUUCACAGGGUACCACUUCACACUUUCACAGAAGAGUAUAUUUCAAUGUUUUUAUCUGUUAGCCAGAAAAAUCCCUGAACAAGAGAAUCUGAACUAGUCUUAUCUCUGAGAAAUUUAUAGACACCUUAGUGUUAAUCUGAAGACCUAAUUGUACAUACUUUUGAUGACAUGCAUCAUUUCUUUUGGUGGAAACCUGACCAUUUGUGUAAAUAAAGACUAAUAUCUAAGCUGCACCAUCAGGACUUGAGAGUCUAGGUCAUUCCAUUCACUUAAUGAGGAUAAUGGUGCACCCCUGCACUGGCACAGGCUGGACUUCACCUUUUCUCCCACAGCCCUUUGGUGGCAGAUCAGAAUUUUUUGGCUUUCUUUUACCUUUAAUUUGCACUUAAACACCUGCCAGAAAGACAAAUGUAUAUAUGUCACAGGAGUAUCAGAUGGUCUUUCUGGAGUGAUUUAAAUGACAUGACAACAAUUUGGUGUAUGCUCCUAAGGCAAUGAUCAAAACAAUAGCAACCACAUUUCUUGUGUCUGAUGUAGACCUGAAGCAUUAAGAAAUUGUGGAUUUUUUUGUGUGGUGUCAUUAAGAAAAUGUGGGAGAACAUGAAAGUAAAAUGUCACCUCACUUAUGCCUUUCAGUACUAUUAAAACAUAGAAUCAAGGCAUCUUAACAGUCUGUAACAGAUUUGUUUCCAAAUAUUUUAUUAAGUUUGAUGCCUUAGAAAAUGAAUAACAACUGUGGAUCUUUUAAGCAUGUAAUAAAUGGAAACAAUUUUCAGAAAGUGUUCAGACUGUAAUGUGGAUCCUGUAACCUUAUUACCAGAAAAUGUUACUACAGAGGAGUUGCUAAGAGAAGAGGAGCAGUUGUGAGCUUAUGUGUAAUUUUUCUACAUUACUGUUCAUUAAAUAAAAUAAGACAAUAUUAUUUCCAUUGGUAAACCACAGAGAAAAAACAGGAA